GCAAGACUUCUCUGAAGUUCAUAUCUUCUUUUGCAGCAAAAACUUUAAGUGGGGACUAGUUGCGAACAAAGAAAUCUAGUGAUAGCAGAUACUUGCAGGAGAUUUCCUAAUGGUGUUCCUUCAGAAAGAGCAAAAACGUUAGCUGUGGGGGGAAAUGUUUGAGGAAAUUUUUGAUUAGUGAUGGCAGAUCCUUACUGGAGAUUUCCUAAUGGUGCUCCUCCAGAAAGAGUCUGGAGAUAAGGCUAUGGUCCUGUGUUUUGUUGAGUUUUAGUGAUGCAAAAUGUGCUUUGACUGCUAUGGACGCUCUUCAAGGUUAUAGGUUUGAUAUCAAGAACCCAGAGGCUCAAACCUUGAACAUUCAGUUCGCACAAUUCCCUUCUAAACUGCCCCCAGCACUCAGUCAGGAAUCUCCUGGCGAACAAAGGGAUGAACACUAAUCGGCGGUGAAGUAUCUACCAUCAGAGCCAUUUCAAAUCAGAUAGAUUGUUUGGUGUUGUAAUCUCUGACGUCGAACUCAGCUUUUUUCACGUCGAAAUUCGGUUUUUGUGUGGUCUGAUUUCUGGGUUUGUUUAGAAUCACCCAAAUAUAGGCCGACAUUCUUUAGGCUCCAUGGAUUAAGUCCCAAUUAUUACUAAUUCAUUCAGAUUUAAUAUU